rnacentral:lncRNA from 1 species
AACUUUUUAUUUCUGUAUAGGAAGCAGUUCAGCAUAGGAACCCGAAAACCACUACUUUGCAUAAUGGAACUGCUGGUCAUAUUAUGUAAGUAGCUAAAGCAUUUUCAAACAGAAUUUCCAAUUACCCAUACCUACCUUUGUGAAAUGCUCAUUAAUUCAGUCACAAAAUUGAUCUGUGUGUCUGUUUGACAGGGAUGAUGUCUACAACUUUAACAUCAGUGGGUUUGAUGAGCCUACAAUAAAGCUUGGCGUAAGAAUAUAACCGAAACUGAUAUGUUAUGAAUAGAAUAUAAAGGAGUUCAGUCAACUUAAAUUAUGUCUGCUGGAAGUACAGUUAACAGCUGAAAUCAGUGAUGUAAUUUGAAAUUUUAGAGGGGAAAAGUGUUUGCCAUGUAAAUACCUCCAUCCCUUUCAAAUGUAGAAUGAUAUUUGCUAUCCUAAGCAUCUGGUGACUUAAAGAUAUUCUGAUGUUUUCCUGAAUAAAGAAUAAAAGAGGUUUUUAUGAGUAUCAUUAUCUUUCGAUUUAUCCUGUUAUCCUGAAAGCGCUAUUGCUUUCCUUCCAAUCCCCAUUGUAAAGUCAUGUUUGCCCAGAUAUUUGAGUAGAAGGAAAGUCUAGGUAAGGUAGAAGCAAAAGACAACAAAAGACAGUUUUGCUGCUUAUGGCUCAGAGGAGGCUGCUGAAUUGGUGAAGGCAGGGAAGCGAAGUGGAUGGAAACUCAUGUAUGUUAGAGAUAUUGAAAGCUUCAGUCAGUUCCGGUUGGUUUUAACUAUCAGCUCUGUUGUUAAAUAAUUUCUAAGAUAGAAAUUAAUCAUCGAAAUUUAAUUGUAAAGUAAAAAAACUGAGCAAGAAAGCCCCGAGCUGUUACUGUCUGAUGCCCUGUUUAAUUUUGUUUAAAUUGUGUAACAAAUCAAAACUUUAAUUUGUUUUUAAUUUAUUUACAUUUUUAGGUCCCAGAGUUGCAUGUUACUGAACUGAGUGUUCGUACAGAUCCAAACACAAAAGGGAAUGCAGAUGACAGGAAAACUGGCACUGAAGUUAAAGGAAGGAAAAAAACUAGAAACAAUCAAAACAAGAAGCAUCUCUUUAGUGACACAGACACAGAAUACAGAGCUGAUGACAGCAAGACAGACAUCAGUUGGCUACAAGAAUCAAAUAGAAAAUCUAAAGCCCAGUUAAUUGACUACAGUAGAAGUAAAAACUUAGGGAAACCAAUAAGCACAGACAAAGGUAAGAAACUUUGUUUCGUAUUUCUUACGACCACUGCAAUAAAUUUGUCUAUAGAUACUCGGUGCAGUGUGUGAUGUGCUGCAGAUACGAUAUG